rnacentral:rRNA from 1 species
GGGAUGAACGCUGGCGGCGUGCUUAACACAUGCAAGUCGAGCGAAGCGAUUUUAAGGAAGUUUUCGGAUGGAAUUAAAAUUGACUUAGCGGCGGACGGGUGAGUAACGCGUGGGUAACCUGCCUCAUACAGGGGGAUAACAGUUAGAAAUGACUGCUAAUACCGCAUAAGCGCACAGUGCCACAUGGCACAGUGUAGAAAA